AAACAGGUUGACACUCUCGUCCUGGUAACCCUCAGGGCCCUGCAGAUCACAGUGUCCAGAGAGGAGGGGCUGUUGCUCCUAGCAGGAUGAGCUUAUCAUGGAACAUAAGAAAAAUAAAACAGAUGUCAGCCUGUGUAUGAAGAAUUCAUCCACAAGAUUUGAGCAGACCGAAGACUGUGAGACUUCCUCCCCACAGUGAGCUAAAAGGACGCUUUUGUCAGAGUGGGGAAAUAAAAGGGCUUUAUGGGAAGGAAGAUAAGAACAGAUGAGUCAGAGGUUUCUGCUUAAUGCUCACUCUUCAAUUCUUUCCCGAGCAAAACCAAGAAUCUUCUUGGGCUAAGCCCCAAUUUGGGGUUCACCUGCCUUGCAGCAACAUGGCACCAAACAUGCGGCAGAAGAGAGAAAACGACAGCAUGAGAGACGGAGAAAGAAAUGGCCAGUUGGCAAGGUGGUAAU
rnacentral:lncRNA from 10 species